rnacentral:rRNA from 1 species
UGGGGGCACCCUGAACGNAGCAAAGCCGCGUGGAUGAAGAAGGCCUUCGGGUUGUAAAGUCCUUUCGUGGGGGACGAAAAGGCGGGUCCUAAUACGAUCUGCUGUUGACGUGAACCCAAGAAGAAGCACCGGCUAACUCCGUGCCAGCAGCCGCGGUAAUACGGGGGGUGCAAGCGUUAAUCGGAAUCACUGGGCGUAAAGGGUGCGUAGGCGGUACGUUAGGUCUGUCGUGAAAUCCCCGGGCUCAACCUGGGAAUGGCGGUAGAAACCGGCGCACUAGAGUAUGGGAGAGGGUGGUGGAAUUCCAGGUGUAGCGGUGAAAUGCGUAGAGAUCUGGAGGAACAUCAGUGGCGAAGGCGGCCACCUGGCCCAAUACUGACGCUGAGGCACGAAAGCGUGGGGAGCAAACAGGAUUAGAUACCCUGGUAGUCCACGCCCUAAACGAUGAAUACUAGAUGU